CCAGACUCCACGGGAGGCAGCAGUGGGGAAUAUUGCACAAUGGGGGAAACCCUGAUGCAGCGACGCCGCGUGAGUGAAGAAGUAUUUCGGUAUGUCAAGCUCUAUCAGCAGGGAAGAAGUUGACGGUACCUGAGUAAGAAGCCCCGGCUAACUCCGUGCCAGCAGCCGCGGUAAUACGGAGGAUGCGAGCGUUAUCCGGAUUUAUUGGGUUUAAAGGGUGCGCAGGCGGCCUGUUAAGUCAGCGGUCAAAGCCGGGGGCUCAACCCCGGCCCGCCGUUGAAACUGGCAGUCUCGAGUUGGAGAGAAGUAUGCGGAAUGCGCGGUGUAGCGGUGAAAUGCAUAGAUAUCGCGCAGAACUCCGAUUGCGAAGGCAGCAUGCCGGCUCCACACUGACGCUGAAGCACGAAAGCGUGGGUAUCGAACAGGAUUAGAUACCCUAGUAAAA
rnacentral:rRNA from 1 species